rnacentral:ncRNA from 1 species
ACCCCUGUGAGAAUGCCCCACAGUUCCCUGCCCGGGAACAAGGAGCCGGUAUCAGGCACACUUAAUUUAAGCCCACGACACCUUGCUUAGCCACACCCUCAAGGGAAUUCAGCAGUGAUAGACAUUAAGCCAUAAGUGAAAACUUGACUUAGUCAAAGCUAAGAGGGUCGGUAAAACUCGUGCCAGCCACCGCGGUUAUACGAGAGACCCAAGUUGUUAGACACCGGCGUAAAGAGUGGUUAAGAUAAAUCAGACACUAAAGUCAAAUACCUUCAGAGCUGUUAUACGCACCCGAAGGCAAGAAGCCCAAUCACGAAAGUGACUUUAUACCAUCUGAACCCACGAAAGCUAGGGUACAAACUGGGAUUAGAUACCCCACUAUGCCUAGCCCUAAACAUUGACAGUAAGCUACACCUGCUGUCCGCCUGGGAACUACGAGCACCAGCUUGAAACCCAAAGGACUUGGCGGUGCUUUAGAUCCACCUAGAGGAGCCUGUUCUAGAACCGAUAAUCCCCGUUCAACCUCACCCUUCCUUGUUCUCCCCGCCUAUAUACCACCGUCGUCAGCUUACCCUGUGAAGGCCUUAUAGUAAGCAUAAUUGGCACAGCCCAAAACGUCAGGUCGAGGUGUAGCGUAUGGAAGGGGAAGAAAUGGGCUACAUUCCCUAACACAGGGAAUACGGACGAUGCACUGAAACGUGCAUCCAAAGGAGGAUUUAGCAGUAAGCAGAAAAUAGAGUGUUCCGCUGAAAUCGGCCCUGAAGCGCGCACACACCGCCCGUCACUCUCCCCGAGCUUAAGUACUCAACUUAACUAAAACCCUAUAGUUGCAAAGGGGAGGCAAGUCGUAACAUGGUAAGUGUACCGGAAGGUGCGCUUGGAAAAAAU